rnacentral:misc_RNA from 1 species
GAUGAAGAACGUAGCGAAACGCGAUAUGUAAUGUGAAUUGCAGAAUUCAGUGAAUCAUCGAAUCUUUGAACGCACAUGGCGCCUUCCAGUAUCAUGGGAGGCAUGCCUGUCCGAGCGUCGUUUCAACCCUCGAGCCCCCGUGGCCCGGCGUUGGGGAUCUGCCACGGCAGGCCCCUAAAACCAGUGGCGGACCCGAAGGCCCUCUCCUUUGCGCAGUAGCAUCAGCCUCGCAUUGGGAUCCCUCGGCGUCCUGCCUCUAAACCCCCCACAAGUCCGCUCCGGCGGCACCAAGGUUGACCUCGGAUCAGGUAGGAAUACCCGCUGAACUUAAGCAUAUCAAUAAGCGGAGGA